UACGUAGGUGGCAAGCGUUGUCCGGAAUUAUUGGGCGUAAAGCGCGCGCAGGCGGUCCUUUAAGUCUGAUGUGAAAGCCCACGGCUCAACCGUGGAGGGUCAUUGGAAACUGGGGGGCUUGAGUACAGAAGAGAAGAGUGGAAUUCCACGUGUAGCGGUGAAAUGCGUAGAGAUGUGGAGGAACACCAGUGGCGAAGGCGACUCUUUGGUCUGUAACUGACGCUGAGGCGCGAAAGCGUGGAGAGCAAACAGG
rnacentral:rRNA from 1 species